UACGUGCCUGAAAUGGGAGCAUACUUCUAGCUGUGGCCACCAAGUCCAGUCUGUUUGCUCUCUGUCCUUUUUUUCUAACUACACUAUUGCAUGGAGCUGGAAACAGAAACAUGAAGAAAGCAUUCUGAAGCAUUGGUGGAGUAGCCUGGCUUGUUGAAUGAAGUACAUAAAAUCCAUGCUUCUAUCUCGAUACUGAAAGGUGUCCCUCACUUCAGUUCUCAUUCUGUAACACUGAAGGUAAGAAGACUCGUUCUGUGCGUACUGGUAAAAGCCAGAUAUCCAGGCAUAGAAUUUCAUCUCCAUAGCUUUUACAUUAUUUGUUGAAAAUCAACUUCCAGAAAAAAAAAAUCUUUCAAAAAAAUUUUAAGGUGUUUUAAAAGUGUUAUUCAUGAUAAAUAAAAUAUUAACAAUAUUCUCUUAUUAUCUUUGUUAAAAUAUUUAUAGCUAAUCUUACUUUUAGUGAACUGCAAUGAAAAUUUAAUCAUCUUUGUGCAACUGAGGCAACCGUAUUGAUUAAUACACCAAGUUGGAAAGUUAGCAUUUUACUGUAAUAUAAUCAGCAUCUUUAGAGUGAUGCACUUAGCAUCCUAUGUAUUUUAUUAAAUAUUAAAGCGUAAAUACGAGUCUUGCUUAAGUGAUUGCAGACCAGUUAGAAGCAAGCAGUAAGCUAACAGUAACCCUGUUACUUUCCAAUUGUUUGUGAAGCUGAUGUGAAGCAAUUUAUCAGUUGUAAUUCUUACAGCCCUGAGUGCUGUUAUUUGGGUUUUGUUUUUGUUUUCCUGUGUUAUAUCUGUAGAUUAUAGAGUAUUUGAUAGUAAUUGUGAUGAUGGCUAAAACUAAGUCUAAAUUGGAUCUAUGAGUAAAGAAGCCUGCUUUGUGCAGUGCUGGCUCAGGUGUUGGAUCUGUUAGUAACUGCAAGUCUUCGGUCUCUGUAAAACUCUAUAGUCUGAGGAUUCAAUUGAUUGAGCUGGAUCUUUGAAUGCUAGGUGGGCAUUUGUAAGAGACCUGGUGUUCUGCAGCCAAGACUGGGAUCAGUGGCUCUGGCAGAGCCACACAGUGCAAUCUGGAGAUCCCCCUACUGAGCACACCUGAUGUGCUGCUCGCUUUGACCUGAAUUUCUCUCAUUCCAUAUGGAAAAAAAUAAAAAUAAAAAAAAAAGGAGGAGCAGUGAAAAUACAGGAAAGGAAAUAAAGAACAUGCAGUGCAAGCAUUAUGUUAAGAAAGCAGGCAGCACACUAGGUGUGAGGACCUGUCAGCCUGGAGACUGCUGGUGAAGGGGCUAGAGGAAGCAGUUCAGGGAAGUCAGCCUUGCUGCUUUGGUGACACUGGAGCAUGCUAAACUUGUAUAAUGAAUGUACCCUCUGAAAAUGAAUGGAUGUGUAGAUGCAUUUUGUGCAGAAGAGGCUUAGUUCACUCACUGCGUUUAUUAGCUAAAAUAUAUUUCCCAUUAGGAGUACAAUUAUGUAUGUAUAUAGUAUUGUUUGCAAAUUAUAAGUUCUCUGUAGAUAAUCUCUGGAAUUGCAUCAUUUUGACAGAGCAGUUAAAAACAUGCCUACCUAACUACAGGAUUUAACCCAUUAACAUCAGCUGCUCUGCUAAUAAAAAUGAACUUAGUCAAGUAAUUAUUUACUUCAGAGCUGAUUCUUUAUGAUGAUGUGCAGUAAAUGUCUUAGAAGUCCUCUAUGCUGUUGCUUUACUCAUAGGAGAGAGAACAUACUGGAAGAAUUACAGUAGAUACCACAAUUGCUAAUGGGGUCAGCAACAGUACUGUUUUACCAUGGCGUGUUGCAUUGUGUUUCAUGCCAGCAGUAAAUAAUUUCUCUCUGUUGUAAAUGGAGAAAUGUCCCUGCUACGUGACUAUCUGCGCACACAUAAUUGUUUCUAAUUCUAGUUGGUAAAAUGGCAGUUAAUUAGUACUUUAAAGAAAUCAAAGGUAAUCAAUUUAAAUUUGAAAUUCUUAUUGGCAUGCUAAUUUAGCAUUUACUGCACCUGAAAAAAUAAUAGCUUCUCAUCUUAUGAAAAUUUUAUGAGAAAAUACUGUUUUGAACAUGAGGAGAAAAAUGUCUUAAAUCUCACCGAAGAGAGAUGUCAGUAUUUUGUCUUAGGAUCCCAUAUCUUCAGUUUCAUAGCAUCGUGUACUGUUGGUUUGCUACAGCAGUAUGGGGGGAUCGAAAGCUAAAUUUUUCCAACUGGUUGUGAACUGUCAUCAUCUCAUGGAUGUUUGACCCAUUCUGAGGUAUGAAUUUGUGGGACAGAGGAGGUGAAGGUAAGGAAGGAGGUCUUGAAGGUCCUCUGUCCUGCAGACUUCAUCAGCUAGGCUGAGAAACUGUUAUUACAAGGAGCCCAAGUCAAGCCUUGCCAGGUGCCUUUGUGUUCUACGCAUACCAGUAGGUUCAUGUCCAGUACUUUGGCACCUGCAGUUGUUUGUUCUUUGUGACUAGGGCAAUCAGUUAAAUCUUGAAGGAGCUCUUUUCUUACCAUGGCUCAUGAACUAUGGAUGAUGAACAGGAAAUACUGGAGAGUGCUGCAAAUAAUGGCUCUGUUUGAUAGGGAGACACACGACUGCAUGAUGUUCCCAUUUGUAUCAGAGGAAAAACUCUUAAGCCAUGUUUUUGCCUCAAAUGUCGAAGUUAGGCUAUAAAUUAGAAUGUUUCUUUCAGUCUCCUCUUGUAGAAAGACUACUUGUAGUUCAGUCAGAAUCUGCUAUUUGUAGUUCAGUGAGAAUGAGAGAGAAUGUGGUGACGAUCACCUUCAAUUUACAGUACCUAUAUGGCACAGUAUUAAGGACUGUGUGGAGGAUAUAGUAUGGUCAUGCUUUGGUUGUGAAACUGCCAUCAAUCAUUUUUAAUUUCUGAUAUGUAUCUGUUAAGAACUGAAAACCUGCAGAAAUGUUGCAGAAUUUUUAAGGUGGUAACUGCAAGAAUGCGGAACGAUGCAUUUGCUGAGGUGCUGUAUUUGCUCUGUAUCUCCCAGUGUACAGCUCAUCCAUCAGCACACACAAGGGCUGUAUCUAGAGAGAAGGAUGGGCUGAGCUGGCUCCUUUUCAGCUCCACUUGUGCACUCCAGAUUAAAAUACGAAUCCCAGCAAAUCUAAAAUCCAACUUAAAAUGACAUUUGAAGGAGCAGGGCCAUUGUAAGGCUUAAUGGGCUUAAUCAGUAAUUUUCCUCUUAGACGUUUCCAGGCUUUUUCAGUGUUAUAGCAGAGGAGAAAAAACACUUGUGUAUGUGAAUAUGAGUAAGAGAAAGGAAACAGAGUAAGUUGGUUAUGUUUUUACACUGGUUAUUGUAACUAGAAUUUCAUGAGAUGUUUUUACAUCCCCUUCUUUAAUAAGAGUUUUUUAUCAUCCUUCAGAAAUCAGUGCAGUUGGAAGACUUGAUUGUGCUUUUACUUUAUAGUUAGCACAUUCAAAAGAACAGCCUUUGAAUUUUGCUAGACUACAUCCUUCAGUAUGCUAUUGAAAAGUUAUAGAAACAUGUAUUGCUGUGAAUGUGAAACUCAAAAAGAAAAAAAAAAAAGAAAAAAAA
ensembl:lncRNA